GUUUGAUCCUGGCUCAGAACGAACGCUGGCGGCAUGCCUAACACAUGCAAGUCGAAACGAAGAACCUUCGGGUCUAGUGGCGCACGGGUGCGUAACGCGUGGGAAUCUGCCCUCUGGUACGGAAUAACUCAGGGAAACUUGAGCUAAUACCGUAUAAUGACUUCGGUCCAAAGAUUUAUCGCCUGAGGAUGAGCCCGCGUCGGAUUAGCUAGUUGUGGGGUAAAAGCUCACCAAGGCGACGAUCCGUAGCUGGUCUGAGAGGAUGAUCAGCCACACUGGGACUGAGACACGGCCCAGACUCCUACGGGAGGCAGCAGUGGGGAAUAUUGGACAAUGGGCGAAAGCCUGAUCCAGCAAUGCCGCGUGAGUGAUGAAGGCCUUAGGGUUGUAAAGCUCUUUUACCCGGGAUGAUAAUGACAGUACCGGGAGAAUAAGCCCCGGCUAACUCCGUGCCAGCAGCCGCGGUAA
rnacentral:rRNA from 1 species